AGUGAACGCUGGCGGUAGGCCUAACACAUGCAAGUCGAACGGCAGCACAGUGAGAGCUUGCUCUUACGGGUGGCGAGUGGCGGACGGGUGAGGAAUACAUCGGAAUCUAAUUUUUCGUGGGGGAUAACGUAGGGAAACUUACGCUAAUACCGCAUACGACCUACGGGUGAAAGCAGGGGAUCUUCGGACCUUGCGCGAUUGAAUGAGCCGAUGUCGGAUUAGCUAGUUGGCGGGGUAAAGGCCCACCAAGGCGACGAUCCGUAGCUGAUCUGAGAGGAUGAUCAGCCACACUGGAACUGAGACACGGUCCAGACUCCUACGGGAGGCAGCAGUAGGGAAUAUUGGACAAUGGGCGCAAGCCUGAUCCAGCCAUACCGCGUGAGUGAAGAAGGCCUUCGGGUUGUAAAGCCCUUUUGUUGGGAAAGAAAAGCAGCAGGUUAAUACCCCGCUGUUCUGACGGUACCCAAAGAAUAAGCACCGGCUAACUUCGUG
rnacentral:rRNA from 1 species